rnacentral:misc_RNA from 1 species
ACGAAGUCCGCAGGGAUGCGACUCCUCUUGCCAAAAUUCCUGGAUUGCUUGAUGCUCUGCUUCAAAUUAUAGAUGAUUGGCGUGAUAUAGCCUUACCAAGGGUACUUGUAAAGGCACCGCGUGUCCGGCUUUUGGGUGCAAAUUCAGUCGUUACUGGAUUUGGACUUGAAUAUGAAGCAUUGAACUCGAAUGAAUCUGUUCUCAAUCCUAGAGAGUCAUCUGUUCAGAAGAGUUCUACCAAGUCUCGCCCCACGGGUUUGUGUUUUGAGGAAGAUGGCCUAUUUAAUUUGGAUGAGGAGGGGCGGAUUGAAAAACAGCAGUUUGCUGUUGCUGCUUCAAACGUUGUUCGCAACUUCUCUUUUAUGCCAGAUAAUGAAGUCAUCAUGGGCCAGCAUAGACAUUGCUUGGAAACUCUAUUCCAAUGUCUGGCAGAUUAUGUCACAGAGGAUGAAGAACUUGUCACAAAUGCUCUCGAGACUAUAGUGAAUAUAGGUCCAUUGAUAGAUCUUCGGAUCUUCAGUUCUUCAAAACCUUCUUAUAUCAAAAUGACGGAAAAGCGUGCAGUCCAGGCCCUCAUGGGAGUGCUAGGAUCUGCUGUUAAGGCCUGGCAUUGUGCUGCUGCUGAAUUAACUGGUCGUCUUUUAAUAAAUCCUGAUAAUGAACCUUUCUUACUUGCUUCUG